rnacentral:rRNA from 1 species
UACGUAGGGGGCUAGCGUUGUCCGGAUUUAUUGGGCGUAAAGAGCGCGUAGGCGGCCGAGUAAGUCCGACGUGAAAUCUGGAGGCUCAACCUCCAGCGGUCGUUGGAAACUACUCGGCUAGAGUCCGGAAGAGGAGAGUGGAAUUCCUGGUGUAGCGGUGAAAUGCGCAGAUAUCAGGAGGAACACCGGUGGCGAAGGCGGGUCUCUGGGCCGUAACUGACGCUGAGGAGCAAAAGCAUGGGGAGCGAACAGG